CCUACGGGAGGCAGCAGUGAGGAAUAUUGGUCAAUGGGCGCGAGCCUGAACCAGCCAAGUCGCGUGAGGGAAGACGGUCCUAUGGAUUGUAAACCUCUUUUGUCGGGGAGCAAAAGACGCCACGCGUGGCGUUCCGAGAGUACCCGAAGAAAAAGCAUCGGCUAACUCGGUGCCAGCAGCCGCGGUAAUACGGAGGAUGCGAGCGUUAUCCGGAGUUAUGGGGUUAAAAGGGUGCGCAGGCGGAAGAUCAAGUCAGCGGUAAAAUGGAGAGGCUCAACCUCUUCGAGCCGUUGAAACUGGUUAUCUUGAGUGAGCGAGGAGUAUGCGGAAUGCGUGGGGUAGCGGUGAAAUGCAUAGAUAUCACGCAGAACACCGAUUGCGAAGGCAGCAAACCGGCGCUCAACUGACGCUCAUGCACGAAAGUGUGGGUAUCGAACAGGAUUAGAUACCCGAGUAGUC
rnacentral:rRNA from 1 species